rnacentral:rRNA from 1 species
UACGAAGGGGGCUAGCGUUGCUCGGGAUCACUGGGCGUAAAGGGCGCGUAGGCGGCCAUUCAAGUCGGAGGUGAAAGCCCAGGGCUCAACCCUGGAAUUGCCUUCGAUACUGUUUGGCUAGAGACCGGAAGAGGUAAGUGGAACUGCGAGUGUAGAGGUGAAAUUCGUAGAUAUUCGCAAGAACACCAGUGGCGAAGGCGGCUCACUGGCCCGGUACUGACGCUGAGGUGCGAAAGCGUGGGGAGCAAACAGG